rnacentral:rRNA from 1 species
UACGAAGGGGGGCUAGCGUUGUUCGGAAUUACUGGGCGUAAAGCGCACGUAGGCGGAUAUUUAAGUUAGGGGUGAAAUCCCAGGGCUCAACCCUGGAACUGCCUUUAAUACUGGGUAUCUCGAGUCCGAGAGAGGUGAGUGGAAUUCCGAGUGUAGAGGUGAAAUUCGUAGAUAUUCGGAGGAACACCAGUGGCGAAGGCGGCUCACUGGCUCGGUACUGACGCUGAGGUGCGAAAGCGUGGGGAGCAAACAGG